UACGGGGGGGGCAAGCGUUGUUCGGAAUUACUGGGCGUAAAGGGCUCGUAGGCGGCCAACUAAGUCAUACGUGAAAUCCCUCGGCUUAACCGGGGAACUGCGUCUGAUACUGGAUGGCUUGAGUUCGGGAGAGGGAUGCGGAAUUCCAGGUGUAGCGGUGAAAUGCGUAGAGAUGUGGAGGAACACCAGUGGCGAAGGCGACUCUUUGGCCUGUAACUGACGCUGAGGCGCGAAAGCGUGGGGAGCAAACAGG
rnacentral:rRNA from 1 species